UGGGGUAUAGCUCAGUGGUAGAGCACUGGUAGAGUACUGGUUCAAUCCCCAGUACCUCAA
rnacentral:tRNA from 1 species